rnacentral:lncRNA from 1 species
AUUGUUAGAAGGGGCACUGUUAGCUUCCUCGAUCUUUCAGAAAUGUGUGCUGGGAAUUCCAGACUCGGUGUUCAAUGGAGUCAUUCCUUUGCCUCAUAGAAGGAAGGAAAUCUAGGCCAAGCCAGGCAAGACUGCACCAGGAGGGAGAGAAAUUCAUCUUCGACAAAUCUGGCUUUCUGACAUCAGACACUUCCAUGAGUCUACAGUCCCUUUUCUUCAGUUCUACAAACGAAAAAGCUCUGAAAACUCUUUUUUGUAAGGUAGGGAUGAACCUGACAUCAAGAAAUAAGAGGCUAUUUAUUGGCUUUUUUGUUCUGUUUCAAGUAUUUACUCACUUUGUUAUAGGAAUAUUAAUGAGUUUGAUCUCAGAGUGCUGUUUCAGUUUCUACUGGGAACACUACAUUAUCUACGAUAUAUUAAUUAUCUCAGCUUCUUACAGAUGAAAUAACAGGCUCAAAGAGGUGCAGUGACUUGCCCAAGGUUGUUUCACAUCUAGGGAGAGUAAAGAGUAGAAUUGAGGUCUUCUGCCCCCUUCAUUUGUUUUUUGUUGUUUUUUCCUCAUUGCACUGUACUGCUUCCUCAUGAUAUUACCUCUGAAGACCAUCUUGAUCAAUUCUUCUGUGUGGAAGAGUUUAAGCAAUCACAUUCAUCUUAUUUGACAUUUUCUUCUAUUUGAGACAGGGUCUCACUGUGUCACCCAGGCUGGAGUGCAGUGACACCAUCACGGAUCAUUGCAGCCUCAACCUCCUAGGCUCAAGCAAUCCUCCCACCUCAUUCUCUGGAGUAGCUAGGACUACAGGUACAUGUCACUAUGCCUGGAUCAUUAGAAAGAAAAAUUUUUUGGUAGAAAUUAGGUCUUGGUAUGUUGCUCAGGCUGGUCAUUCACAGGUGUUUAAAGUGUGAUAAAUGGAUGAUUUAAGUCUGAUAGAACUUUUACACAUAUUAUACAUUUAAGUAUAUACACAUGGAAGCUCCUAGGAGUUGGUUAUGUUUACGUGGUGGAAAAAAAAACCCUUCGAAAUAAUUAUUAGUUUGAGAAAAAGACGUCAAUAAAUAAUUUCUACGUCAACACAUUGUUUUUGGUUGUUGUUGUUGUCGAGACGGAGUCUCGCACUGUUGCCCAUGCUGGAGUGCAGUGGUGCCAUCUCGGCUCACUGCAAGCUCCACCUCCUGGGUUCAUGCCAUUCUCCUGCCUCAGCCUCCCGAGUAGCUGGGACUACAGGCGCGUGCCAACACGCCCAGCUAAUUUUUUGUAUUUUUAGUAGAGACAAGGUCUCGCCGUGUUAGCCAGGAUGGUCUCGAUCUCCUGACCUCGUGAUCCACCCGCCUAAACUUCCCAAAGUGCUGGGAUUACAGGCGUGAGCCACCGCUCCCAGCCUUGUCAACACAUUGUUAUAUGUAAAAAAGCUAAUUAAAUGUGAGCUUCCAACAAUUCCCUCUGCUUCAUUCUUCUGACUCUCAACAGAUCAUGGUUAACACCAAGGGCUCUGUGUCUGAGGUUUCACAUGUUUACAUCACCUAUUUUAAACGGUCUCAACCUCACUCCACCACCACUGACCCAUCAAAUCAUUUCCGCAGCUAAAUCCGAAGUGUUCUGUAAACAGCUUUCCCUUUCAAGGAGUCUAACUGGACUCAGGUUGAACUCCCUUGUGGCUUUCUCAUGUUCCUUGAUUUAUUCAUUUGAAAUUGUCUUCCAGGAGAGAUUGUGAUAUCCUAAAUGAGGACCUCAUCCAUUUUAUUUGCUUCUCUUCUCCCUAACCUGCUACACCACCUGUUCAUUGAAGGCACAGAAUAUUUUAAACUGACCAUCACUUGCUGUAAAUUCUGGAGAUCUCAGCACAAUUCAGAAAUCCACACCCUAAAGGAGUUAUGUGUGGAUGUUAAUGCCAUCCUCACCACAAGAGGGAGCUCAUUGUCUCUUUUUCUGCAAAUCGGUGCAAAACAGUUUUCUUUUCUUUUUUUUUCUUUUGAGACGAAGUUUCGCUCUUGUUGCCCAGGCUGGAGCGCAAUGGCGCGAUCUCGGCUCACUGCAACCUCCGCCUCCCGGGUUCAAGCAAUUCUCCUGCCUCAGCCUCCCGAGUAGCUGGGAUUACAGGCGCCCGCCACCACGCCCGGCUAAUUUUUGUAUAUUUAGUAGAGAUGGGAUUUCACCAUGUUGACCAGGCUGGUCUUGAACUUCUGACCUCAGGUGAUCCACCCUCCUUGUCCUCCCAAAGUGCUGGGAUUACAGGCGUGAGCCACCGCGCCCGGCUUUUUUUUUUUUUAAUCUACGGGAUAACACUUCAUAAAAGUAACAGUGACACUAUUCAGUUUGGUUCAUUUAUAUGAUUUGACUUUUCAUAGGUUGUUAAGAAAGCAGUAAAGUCUGUGAACCUAAUUGGAUUUCCCUGACUCUGAAAAGUGUAUUGAAGAAAAAAAUGUAUAUAUGGAAAGGAGUAACUGAGGUGACAGAAAGACUUGCUGAGGAGGUGACAUGUGGGAUGGGACCUGAAGUAAUGUAUUAGUAUAAAAAGUCAGGUCAGAGGAUUCAAGGAAGAUGGCAGAAUAAAAAGCAUGAAGAAUCUGUAUCCCCCACCUGGAUUUGCAUUGGCAGAAUCCAACUGAUGUAGCUAUUUUGAAACUGUGGAUACUAUUAAAAGCUUGCAGCUUCCA